UAGGAUUGCUGUUGUUUUGUUUUUUGAGACAGAAUAGCCCUGGCUACUGUGUAUCCCUGGCUGUCCUAGAACCCAAUCUAUAGACCAGGGUGGCCUCGAACUCUCAGAGAGCUGCCUCCCUCUGCCUCCCAAAUGCUGGGACUAGAGGCAGGCACCACCAUUGGACAAUUUGUGGAUGGGUGUGAGGAACUCCAGGGACAGCACCAGGUGGGCAAUUUGUUUGGAGCAGUACAUCUGUCAAACUGUAACAAGGUGUCCUAAGGCCCACUCAGAGAGGACAGAAACCUCCCAUGAAGCAGAAGAGCAAAAGUUCCUUUGAUCUUGAUUUACAGCAUGGAUACAGACUAUGAAAGCAGGGCCUCUGGAUCCUUUUAACCUUUUGGGUUAAGCAGGAGGUGUCAGAAAAGUUACCA
rnacentral:ncRNA from 1 species